rnacentral:sRNA from 1 species
GGAAGGCGGUGCUCUGGGAAGCCGGACAACGCGGCACCCGCUCUUCAAAGCGGAGCCGGGAGUUUUUGCUACAGUUGUCGCCACCAUGAGUCGCAGCUAUAAUGAUGAGCUGCAGUUCUUGGAGAAGAUCAAUAAAAACUGCUGGAGGAUCAAGAAGGGCUUCGUGCCCAACAUGCAGGUUGAAGGCGUUUUCUAUGUGAAUGAUGCUCUGGAGAAAUUGAUGUUUGAGGAAUUAAGGAAUGCCUGUCGAGGUGGUGGUGUUGGUGGCUUCCUGCCAGCCAUGAAACAGAUUGGCAACGUGGCAGCCCUGCCUGGAAUUGUUCAUCGAUCUAUUGGGCUUCCUGAUGUCCAUUCAGGAUAUGGGUUUGCUAUUGGGAACAUGGCAGCCUUUGAUAUGAAUGACCCUGAAGCAGUAGUAUCCCCAGGUGGUGUCGGGUUUGACAUCAACUGUGGUGUCCGCUUGCUAAGAACCAAUUUAGAUGAAAGUGAUGUCCAGCCUGUGAAGGAGCAACUUGCCCAAGCUAUGUUUGACCACAUUCCUGUUGGGGUGGGGUCAAAAGGUGUCAUCCCAAUGAAUGCCAAGUAAGAGCACACGUUUCCAGUACGUGGUAUGGGAGGGAUAAUAACCACAUGACCUUCAGCUUCGUUUCCAGCGCACUACACUUGAGAGAUGAGGAUUGUUCAGUUACUUUUCAGGAAGUAGUAAGAAUUGUUUUUUUAAGCAUGAGGUUCAGCCCAUUUAUUGGAGACAUUAGUCAACCGAUGUU